ACGGACCGUAGUGCCUAGGCAGAGCCUGAGGGCAACGCUGAGGUGGUACGACUGCGUGCCUUGUUUGCGUGCAACGGCAUGGAGCUGAGCAGGGGGUGUUUACCGCCCCCCGACCAGACAGCAGCGGACUUUGUCGAAGAGGUCUUCAUGCGACUUUAGCACCGUAUUCGUUCUUGAGCACUUGCUUCGACGCUAAGAUGCGACCGAGUAAGGUGCACUUCUGUACCGCCUCGCUGCGUCCGUGGGUGUCGGAGUAUCUGGCACGCAUGGGUGUUGCCCCUGCGGAUACCGCUCCUGCGCACCCACACAGGGGCUCAUCAGCGUUCAAGGCGCAGCCAGUCGAGCGCGGGGACAGCGCGGAAAGCGAGCUAGCUGCAGUAGAGGAGCAGUACAGAGAGGCGCGCAAGCAGCUCCUAGGGGCGCUUCAUGUGCAACCGUUUUCGUACGCAAACGUUGUUUCACAUGCACGCGGCUUCUCUCAGACGAAGCCCAAAGACAUCUUUGACCUCCGUGGGAUUUGCAGCGCUGACUAUGACUCCCUUGAUGAGAACUGCAUUCUCGAACCUGCUGUACGACAGUCGGCGAGUUGCGCACGUGAGGCCGACGCGCCACCCUCAGCGCCUGCGCCCGCUUCUGCAGUGUCGGCUGAUGCCGGUCCUACGCAGGCAUUGUCUUCACCUGCGACUUCUGCUGCUUCUGCUGCUGGUGCCCCGGCAGCGGCGGUGACACCUUGGCCGACGGUGUCGCAGAUGACGAGGGCAAUAGAGCGCCGCAUCAUGGACCACCAGCGUCUGUGGCGUGCUGCCAAUCGAUUGGCCAGCGACCGCUUGGGGUCAGGGGAGAUGUGGUGUGCCUUGGACCCUUCGACAAGUACAGCACAGCCGCCGUCUACUUCAUUCGUCAUUGGGGGCUCGCUUCCGUUUCUGCUCGCGACGAUACCGCACACGCUGGUCUCUGCAAUCGCCGAGCACGCCAUCCUUCACGCUUGGUACGGCGGGCCACACGUCUACCCCGAUGCCAAAUUACCUUGCCCCACUGCCGCCUUUGUCUUCAAAGACAGCCCGCUACUGCGUGUGGACGACGUGACAAGUCUCCAGUGGGACCGCGCGCAGGCGGCAAACUUCCUCGUCACUGUGCUGCGGCAGCCCGCGGUUCAGAAGGAGCUUCGCCAGCGCCUGUGGGCCGCCGCGCAGAACUGCCACCGCGGUGUUCUCCGGAAGCUAGAGUCUCUUGCGGUGAAGAAGGAGAUGGAGGGAGCCUCCAGGGAGGCCGCGGCUGAUCGCCGCAUUCUGCUUGACCAAGAGCCAGGCGUGCCUUCACCGCUUUCGUUGUCCCUCCGUGAGGUGCGAGACGACUUGUUCAGCUUUGAUGAGCUCCUGUACUUUGUGCGCGUGCCGCCCUCAACGUACUCGAACUCUCGCCAGCAGCGAGUGGAAUGUGAGCCACUUCGGUCGACGCAUCUCUUCCGCUUCGUCACGGGUCGCGCCGACGUUGCAGCGGCGCUCAGUGAUCGGCCGCGUUCGAACGUCUCCGGAUCGCCUUUCCGCGUUUCACUGCGGGACGGGGACAGGAGCGCAAAGGUGAGCUCGGCGCCGGUGUCGCUGUCCACACGAGACAAGCUGUGGCUGCUCUUGAGUGAGAUGGUGCGGCUUCGGUAUCUCGUUGCAUACCUAUUGAACUUUGAAGGAAUGCUUCACCGCGUGCGCAGCAGCACCAGGCAUUCGCAGCGCGGGCAACCAAAAUCAAAGGAAGUGGACAGCGCCGGUUUCCCGGGUAGCAGUGGCUCCGAGCAGGCGGAUGCGCAGGAUGCAGAAAACGCCAAGUGCAUUGCAGCUGUCUUCCGCUUCCUCGACAUCCGGCUACACACGCGGCUGGCCCUUACCCCACACCACCGCCGCUUCUUGCGUCAUGCGCGGGUGCGUCACUGUAAACGGUCCGCGACUCCGGAACCGCCAGAGCGGGCGACCGCCGCCCAUGAGGCCACCGAUGCCGACAUGAGUGUCAGACGCGAGACCCGACGAUACGCAACGGUCCAGGAGCUAUUCAGUGCUUUCUCGAAGGCUCUCGACGAAUCUACGACGCCACUGUCGCAACAGCCGGCCACCGCUGCAUUUUACACGUCGUCGGCAAAAAGUGCCGGCGAAGGGCAAGGGGCCGCAGAAAACGGCAUAGAGGCGAUGAGCGAGAUGCCAGAUCACAUGUGUGGCAGGAGUCCUCGACAGAACGUAGCACAAGCAAGAGCAACCUCAGACGGACCAUCGUCACUUUCCGACGCAGACGGCGAAUUCCUCAAGGCCAUUGUGUCGGCGACGCGCCACGAUCAGCCACCGGAUUCAACCAUGCAAGGCACCCCAAUGAGAGCCACCCGUCGCGGCGGUGUGAGGUCUUCAUCUGCCAACCUCGGCGAGCUUCCGUGCAGCCGCGGUCCACCUGGCAGGCGAUGCUUCACUGCUGAGGGGUCGAAGACAUCUCUCCCGCACUGGAGGCGAACCGCCGGAGAUCCGCAUUCGUUUGUGGUCGUUGUGUUUGAACGCAAGAGCAACAGGGCCAAGUGGCCAUUUCAGGCACUGCGGGCUCGCACGAACGCAUCCAACUUCAAGGUUUGCUUCCGCGGCUCUCACGACGCCAGCAGCCAUGCAGCUGUGAUUUGUUUCCAGCUUACAUGCACACGGGAAGAGGGGGAAAAGACGGAAAGGGCACCGCUGUCGAGAAAAUCGGCUGCCGACUUGCUGCAGCAGUACCCUUACGUGACGCACGUGAACGGAACCUCUGUCAGAAAGGCGGACCUUGCAGUACGGCUUUUUCGCUCCGCUCAUGUACUGAAGCUGCGGCUCGGCAGGAGACCGCCAGACCCGUGCGAGGAUGCAGCUGUGUGGUAAAAGGCGGUGCAUUGCGAACGUCUGCGUACCUGUUCCAGCCUCGAUUGGAUGCUCGCGCGGAGCUCGUUGUAGGGCGAUGCCGGACAACGUGCUCUCUGCACACGACUAAGCUGCUAAUGUCUAUUGAACCAAAUGCCCCUUUUGAAGCUCAAAGCCACAUGAACGACAUGCGCACGGCACCUACUGUCUCGUCGGCUAGCCUUUCCACUCACAUGAACGCCGAGCUCUUCUCUUCUCUCAGCCAAUCGCAAGGGGAGGGGGGCUCUGGAGGUGUCUUUGAAGGACUGUCGAUGGCACCUUUAUGUUAUCUACCCUCUCCUCGAAAACAAAACGACAACGUCGCUGCUCUGUUGCUUGCCCUCUUCUCCUUUGCAUAUGCAUCAUGCCUUUCUAUCGGUGGUGGGUGGUGGUGGUGGUGGUGUUUCCGCUUCUCGCAG
rnacentral:misc_RNA from 1 species